AAACGACUCUCGGCAACGGAUAUCUCGGCUCACGCAUCGAUGAAGAACGUAGCAAAAUGCGAUACUUGGUGUGAAUUGCAGAAUCCCGUGAACCAUCGAGUUUUUGAACGCAAGUUGCGCCCUAAGCCAUCCGGUUGAGGGCACGCCUGCCUGGGCGUCAUG
rnacentral:rRNA from 1 species